rnacentral:rRNA from 1 species
GACGAACGCUGGCGGCGUGCUUGACACAUGCAAGUCGAACGGAAAGGCCCUGCUUUUGUGGGGUGCUCGAGUGGCGAACGGGUGAGUAACACGUGAGUAACCUGCCCUUGACUUUGGGAUAACUUCAGGAAACUGGGGCUAAUACCGGAUAGGAGCUCCUGCUGCAUGGUGGGGGUUGGAAAGUUUCGGCGGUUGGGGAUGGACUCGCGGCUUAUCAGCUUGUUGGUGGGGUAGUGGCUUACCAAGGCUUUGACGGGUAGCCGGCCUGAGAGGGUGGCCGGCCACAUUGGGACUGAGAUACGGCCCAGACUCCUACGGGAGGCAGCAGUGGGGAAUAUUGCACAAUGGGCGGAAGCCUGAUGCAGCAACGCCGCGUGCGGGAUGACGGCCUUCGGGUUGUAAACCGCUUUCGCCUGUGACGAAGCGUGAGUGACGGUAAUGGGUAAAGAAGCACCGGCUAACUACGUG